UGUGUGUGGCUCAGUGGUAGAGUGCUUGUCUAGCAUGCAUGAGGCACUGGGUUCAAUCCCCAGCACCACAU
rnacentral:tRNA from 1 species